rnacentral:rRNA from 1 species
CCCUUAGAUGUUCUGGGCUGCACACGCGCUACACUGGCAGGUUCAGCGAGCUUCUUGCCCUGAUCUGAGAAGAAUGGGAAACCUUUUCAACACCUGCCGUGCUUGGGAUAGAUGUUUGCAAUUAUUCAUCUUCAACAAGGAUUGCCUUGUAGGCGUGCCUCAUCAGGGCACAUCGAAUACGACCCUGUAUUCUGUACACACCGCCCGUCGCUCCUACCGAUUGAAUGAUCCGGUGAGGCCCCCGGAUUGUGGCAAUGGCUCUGGUUCGCCAGACCAAUGCUGCGAGAAGCUGUCCAAACCUUAUCAUUUAGAGGAAGGAGAAGUCGUAACA